GGUUUUAAGGAAAAAUAAUAGUUUGGAGACCUUCGAGAAUGAAUCUCGUCGAUCAGGACCCACCUUUGGAAUAAUUGUGGGUUCAGAUGUACACCGGUGUUGGUGAUUUCCGGCAGAGGUCGCCGAUGGUGGCCGUUAUCUGGUGUUCAACUUUUGGCUCUUCAAAGAAUUAAAUGAACGGAGGUGUUAACGGUGGAGUAUUGAUGAUAGAAGGUACUGUUACAAACCUCGAGAAGUUAGCUUCCCAUUAAUGGUGGUGCUAGGCAGUUUUAUUCGACGGUGGUCGCCGAAAUUUGGUGUGAAAUUCAGCAUGCUCACCGGAAAGGGAAAUAAAAUCUGCUACGGCAUCUGUUUUCGGAGCCAAAAUCGAAGGGUUUGGAGUGUGAAUUUGGGAAUCAUUCCAUCUCGAAACUCGUAGAGGACCUCGAAAAAUGUGUGUCAUUCGUGGUUGUGUACCUAAGAAAAUUUUGGUCUAUGAUGUUGCUUUUGGUGCUAACUCGAGCUAUGUUGGCGAAAUUAUGAGAAAUAGUAAACCUUCUGCCGCACCUGUUUUCGGAGUCGAAAUCGAAGGGUUUGGAGUGAGAUUUUCUAAUCAGUCUCUUCACAAAACUCGUAGAGGACCGUGAUAAUUAUAUGUUAUAACUUAUAAAUGCCAAAUUUGCAGUUGAGGCUAAAGUUUAGUUGGUGGCUCUACUGAUAAGGCACCCAAUUUCAGGCACCCGUAGAGAGGCAGAGGCAGUUGAAGCUAAUGAUAUUACUUCAAUCAAGUUCCAGAUGUGAAUGUUGUCAGCGGUUUUAAGUUCAAUUUAAUCGGCGAGGCAGUGUUUGGUUUCUUUGGUUGCUACUGUAUAUAUAUUGAUCACUGAUUUAAUUCACCUGUCAACAAUUAAUUAGUUAGGUGCUAAUAUGUAGUAACCAGCUAUCAAUUCAAUUUUUUUUCCUCACAAUUAUUAUUUGGUUUUUGUCAUUAGUAGCAAUAAACAAUUGUUUUUCGU